ensembl:lncRNA LUCAT1 lung cancer associated transcript 1
ACAAUGCCCAGACCUCCAGAAACCAUGUGUCAAGCUCGGAUUGCCUUAGACAGGUGCAAUUUAAGAACAGCUUUCAUCCUCUUUUCUCUCAUAUUGUCACACUAUGUGUUCUGACUUCUGGCUCCUUUCCUCACAAGAAGCUCACCCAGCUGGAACUCUUAUGGGACCUUGGCACCAGAGACCACAAAUUCCUCUUUGAAGUUUUCUAACAGCAACAAUGGUAUUUCUGACUUGGCUUUCUUGUAUUUCUCUCACGUUAACAAAAUUGGUUCAGCAUCUACCAUGGGCUACAUGCUGAGCUACAGAGUUUCGCUCUGUCGCCCAGGCUGGAGUGCAGUGGCGCGCGAUCUCGGUUCACUGCAAGCUCCACCUCCCGGGUUCACGCCAUUCUCCUGCCUCAGCCUCCUGAGUAGCUGGGACUACAGGCGCCCGCCACCACACCCAGGAAUCCAACUUGCUGUUUGCUAUCACAUGUGCUAUACAUGCUGUUGAUGAAACUGCUAAAGGGGCUGAAUGUGACUGACGUCUUUGGAAGGAUGAGACUUAGCGUGCCUGUACAGUUGUGUCCAAAUGCUGUCCUCAUCUCCCAAUGAAAAGCUGAACUAGGGCCAUGCCUGGGACAGACAGAGAAUGGCCUUCCAGCAGACAUGCCAAGAAGCAAGCCAGGGUCAGUGAGUGAAGAGGAGGGCAGGCCCAUUUGAAGCAACACAGUUUAUGUAAGUGUGAUCUAACUGCUUUCACUGGAAAUGGGUCAGACUCCAGUUGAGAGAACCAGGGGCCUGAAUGACCCCAGCAAAAUCACUGUGGCAAUUCUUUCAAUCACCUCUGAGAAUAUGGCCCUGUGACGACAUAAUGACGUUUGGAUUAAUUCCAGUCGGCUGUGUUUUCCCCUCCUUUCUUGCCUCCCCGUAGUUGAUUUGCCAAAUUUUUUUUGUUUGCUUAAAUACGCGGAACUAAACAGGAUACAUUAUAUGACAGUCUGUGAUAAAUUUACCACUGGGAAUAGGGAAAAAGUAUGGGAUAAAGAAAUAGGUAUUUUUCGCCUCUCACAGCUGUGAUUCAGUUCUGACUCAAAAGGAAGUGUGCCACCUACUGAAUCACAGAAACCACUUCCUGUGGCUGUUUGGUUUAUUCUGGAGGAGCAUCAGGCCAAGUGCUGCCCUGCCCUGACCCUGACUGGCUCUUCAGAGCCAAGGCAUUCACAGCUUGAGGUGGUUUGGCCUCAGACUCUUGAGAACAUUGCAUAUUAAAUUACAAGUGUUUCGUUUCCUAGCAAGGAGUCUUUAGCAACAUGAAAACGAACGUGUGUUAUUUGCAAACCAAGUAUAUCAUUACUGAACCUGAAUAUCCUUACUUUUUCAUAAGAUACAUGAAAAGAAAGAAGGAGAGAAGGAAGAAAGGAGGGCGGAAGGAAAGGAAGAAGGGAGAGAAGAAGAGAAGAAAGAAGCAGAGAAAGGAAGAGAAAAGAAAUUACGGCCAGUGCGGUGGCUCACGCCUGUAAUCCUAGCACUUUGGGAGGCCUAAGCGGGCUGAUCACCUGAGGUCAGGAGUUCGUAAGCCAGCCUGGCCAACAUGGUGAAACCCUAUCUCUACUAAAAAUACAAAAAUCAGCAGGGCAUGGUGGUGCGUGCCUGUAAUCCCAGCUACCUGGGAGGCUGAGGUAGGAGAAUCGCUGGAACCCGAGAGGCGGAGGCUGCAGUGAGUUGAGAUCAUGUCACUGCACUCCAGGCUGGGCAACAGAGUGAGACUCUGUCUCA